UGUGAGGGCUGUGCUGCACCUCCUGUCACUGUGAGGGCUGUGCUGCACCUCCUGUCACUGUGAGGGCUGUGCUGCACCUCCUGUCACUGUGAGGGCUGUGCUGCACCUCCUGUCACUGUGAGGGCUGUGCUGCCGCUUGCUGCUGCUACUACUGGGUUCUACUACCCCGUGACAUAGUAUAUACAAAGAUAUAUAGAGAGCAACAUGUCCAUAGAUAAUCCUGCGGCACCUUUUCACAGUUGUAGAAAUGAUACAAGUAAAUAGGUCUCAAUAUUUUGUGAAGUUAACUUAUUACCACUUUUCAUUUUUAUAGACAAGUGUAGAUUAAAGUUUUUAUUUUUGGAUUUGUAUAAUUUCAACUUUAUGUACACAUUUUGUUUCAUUGGUUUAUACUUUUUGUUUUAAUCUGACACUUAAUAAAUGGCUCUAGUUCAAAUCUUUAGGUUAACUUAAAUAUAAAUUAAGGUUGGCUCAACUGCAAUGUUUUAUAUGCGCUCUUAAUGUGAUGUUCACUCAGAUUGUGUGUGUGUGUGUGUGAAAGCAUAUGUUGGGACAUGUGUACACAGAGUAUAUCCAAUAUUAGGAACACUUAUUGGGUUGCAGCCAUCCCUCACUUCGUCGGGGCAUGAACUCUACAAGGUGUUGAAAGCAUUCCACAGGGAUGCUGGCCCGUGUUGACUCUACAAGGUGUUGAAAGCAUUCCACAGGGAUGCUGGCCCGUGUUGACUCUACAAGGUGUUGAAAGCAUUCCACAGGGAUGCUGGCCCGUGUUGACUCUACAAGGUGUUGAAAGCGUUCCACGGGGAUGCUGGCCCAUGUUGACAGCGUUCCACAGGGAUGCUGGCCCAUGUUGACUCCAAUGCUUCCCACAGUUGUCCAGUUGGCUGGAUGUCCUUUGGGCGGUGGACCAUUCUUGAUACACACGGGAAACUGUUGUGUGAAACCCAGCAGCGUUGCAGUUCUUGAUACAAAGCGGUGUGCCUGGCACCUACUACCUUAUACCCUGUUCAAAGGCUCUUGUCUUUCCCAUUCACACACCAUCCAUGUCUCAAGGUUUAAAAAUCCUUCUUUAACCUGUCUCCUCCCCUUCAUCUACACUGAAGUGGAUUUAUCAUAGCGUUCAGCUGGUCAGUCUCAUGGAAAGAGCAGGUGUUCCUAAUGGUUUUGUACACUGUGUACAUUUGCCAUGAGUCUUUAUACAUAUGGUUAGCCCCUGAUUAAAUUACUUAUGAAAGCUAACAAUUACACUACAUAUUGCAUGAUUUUAGAAAAUUGUCACCAAGCCAUAGAAUUUGGUAAAUGUGAAUGUUCAAUUUGCUUGAUAAUCCCUAAAUUUUACCGCACCACACCCAGACUCAUGUAUCUGUGUAGAAGACGUUUGACCGAGAUGAAUCUCUGAUAUUGUUUUAGCGAAGUGUGCUGGUGCUGACUGGGAAUGCAGAAGUCCUCUUUUUCCUUGUACAUUUCUUUUAUUAAAGACUUAAUUACAAAUUG